rnacentral:rRNA from 1 species
CAGCAGCCGCGGUAACACGAAGGGUGCAAGCGUUAAUCGGAAUUACUGGGCGUAAAGGGCGCGUAGGCGGCGAUCAAAGUCAGGCGUGAAAUUCCUGGGCUCAACCUGGGGGCUGCGCUUGAUACUUGGUUGCUUGAGUGGGGAAGAGGGUCGUGGAAUUCCCAGUGUAGAGGUGAAAUUCGUAGAUAUUGGGAAGAACACCGGUGGCGAAGGCGGCGACCUGGUCCUUGACUGACGCUGAGGCGCGAAAGCGUGGGGAGCAAACAGGAUUAGAUACCCCAGUAGUCCCUGUCUCUUAUAC